CUUGGCAACUGGUGUUGACAAACAGCGUGAGCACGGAAGAAGAGGCCUGCCAAUCAGGAGAACAGAGGCUGAAUAUGAGACCAGUGCACUAAGCCCUAUGCUAGUGAGAAGAAUUGCAGUUCAUGCUCUUGAAACACAAAAAAGGCUUCUGGCACUGUUUGACCACUAGUCACACAAAAUUUGACGGAAGUGGUAUUGAAUGACCUUUCAGGCAAGGAAACAGAAGAAGACUUGUCUUCCAUUUUGCCCCAUUCUGGAGUCUUGACCUGUGGUGUGACUCAACAGGUAGCUUUUGGAUUCUUGAAAUCUGAGGAGUACCUAAUUACAUCGUGCUAUAACAUUGAACACAAAACCUGUGAGACCCUAAGAAGAGAGAGAAAUGGUUGGACAGCCCCUACUGCUACAGCUCUACCUUCUUGGAGACACAUCUGCCCAGCCACACUACUAAUGUGUUCCUACUCUUCAGGGAGAAAUGAAUCUGAAUUUCAUAAAGGAAAGCUACAGCAAAGGAGUCAUACAUUACUUUCUGGAUCAGUCAGUUGCUAGAAUCAGUAACAUCUUCUUUUACUAUCAGUUUAUUUGAAAUUACUUUAUUAUCAAAAAAAUGUGUUCUCCAAAUACUUCAAUAGAUCUACCAUUUGGAGAUAAUCCCAGUUUUCUGUAUAUUGCCCACUUCUGUUCACAUCAUUACUUUGAUCCUAGUGCACACAGCUAAUUCUUCACAUAUUUUACAAUAUGAUUUCUCAUUUUUGGUGUGGGUAAUGGUUUUACCAGUUGUGACAAUGUGGUUCUUAUUAUAUUAAUUUGCGUCUUGCCUCUCACAGUCAAACUUCCUCAAACAUCUGCUCUCUGUGUUCCUUUUUGAGCCAAGUUGAUGAUGGUAACAAUGAUGCUGGAAAUCUUCCUCCUCUUGUCUUUGCUCUUUGAAAAGGGAUUUUAAUGUGCCUGCUUUCCAAUUUUUGCUUAAUGCCAAAAUAAUGAAAUAUGUCUUAUUGUCUUUUGAUAUAGAAUUCAUUGUCUUAAUUUGCAAGUUGGCCUUGGGAAAUGUGUGUUAUCAAGGAAAAGAAACAAGCCCUUUUCCCUUAUUUUCCUUCUGGAGUAGACAUGAGUCCUUCUGGAAAGUGGUUGGGAGAUAAACUUUUGAGAUGAUGGAGUCAUCCUGCCAACACUACAACUUCUCUUUCUCCCGUUUCCAACACUGGUUCCCUUUGUGGGUCUCAACAGUCGUGUGGUUUCUUUCCUAGAACAGCAGCGAAAUUUGCUCUUAGCCCUUCCUUUCCACUGAAAUAUAAAUGACUAUCACUGGCAUAUGCAUUGUUUGUAGUUUGGAGGAUUGAACCUAAAGUUUUAGGUAUGCUGCAUGACCCCUAAUCCCAAGCUCCAGCGCCAUGAAAUAUAUUUUCAAAAGCUUUUUCCACCCACUGAAAGAUUUCCAAUGAAGUAUUCGUUUCUUUAGUUUUAGUACCGCUGUAAAGUGGCAUUAGAUCUUACAUAGUUCUCCAAGAUUACCACUGGAUCAAAUAAUUAUAUUAUUUCAAACUCAAAUGUGUACAUUUCCUGAUAUUGCUUUUAUGUAAGCUCAUUUUUACUCAGAUUUGGAACUAAGUUUGUUUGUUAAUGAAAGGAAAAAAAGGUAUUUGGUACUCUCAACCAAUUCUUACCAGUAAUGGCAACAUGCCUGUAAUCCCAGCACUCAAGAUAGACACAGAAGGGUCAGGAGGUCCUCAGGGUUGAAAGGUGCAUACUGAAGCCUUAGCUACACAGUGGUAUCUUUUGUCAGUCUCUUACUCUACUGCAGACAACCAAAUAAGCCGCCAACAAACCAAAACAAAUAAACAAACACCUCUGUGUGCAUGUUCCUUUUUGUCAUUCUGUGAGACUCUCUUAAUACAGAAAAUUUUUUUUGCAUAACUAAUGUGUAAAAUCUGGUUGCAGAGUUCAGUGGUGAUCUUAUGUCUCCCCUGUGAAACCUGGCAGUGAGAAUCAGUAGGGAAGAUGAGGAGAAAUUUAUUUUCAUGCUGCAGAUAAGUGAGACCAUAUUAUCUAUAGCCAGCUGAUCCCUGAGAUGACCACAGGGAAGGUGUGUCUUUGACAGUAGUCCAUCUUUAGGGAGGAAAAAGAAGGUAAAUUAUGUUGUGGAUUUUUUCUCUGCUCCUGAGAAUUCUUUGCCUGGCAUGGUGGCACACACCUUUAUUUUCAGCAUUUUUGGAGGCAGAGGGAGGCAGAUCUCUGUGAAUUCAAAAAAUUCCAGCCUGAUCUACAUAGUGAGUUCCAGACAAGUCAGGAGUGCAUAGUGAGCCUCUGUCUCAAAUACAUAUAAAAUAAUUCUGUUCCUCCAGCCUUAUUUGAGCUGAGUGCUAUUUGUGAGUAAGAUAUGUAGCCUGUUUCAGGUUGUUAGAAUGCCCCAGGCUCUCAUUCUGCCCCCUGGCCCUUUAUAAGCCUAACACAAAUGGCUGGAAAAUAAAACCCCAAUCGUCUUGGUACCUAUGCAUGUAAUAUAAGGGUUUCCAGGACACCAUUGAAAUGAACACGAUUUUUUUUUCUCCACCAUUGAUUCUAGGACAUACUAAGGAAGUUGCUGAUAAU